rfam:Streptomyces sp. PVA 94-07 chromosome, whole genome shotgun sequence.
CGCCCGGCCGGAUCCCGUGGGGGGAAUCCGCUCGGGACACAGGAAAGCGCCCCGAGCAUCGGC